UUUGUAUUAUUUCUUCAUCAUCUCUUUCCUCCAAUCAAAUAUAAUCAUAUCUUCUCCUUCUUCACCGGAACCCUACCGUCGGUACCAGCUAGCAUUGCGUACUUAUCCUUUCUUGUAAAGUUGGUGCACUCAAACCCUAAGGUUCCUGCUAAAACCCUCUGUAUGUAAUUCGCCACCUCUAUCGGCGACUUGCCUCCUUUACACGUCAGCUCAGCCGGAAGCUGUUUAAGGAACGUGAUCUCGAACGUCGGAACCGGGUUCAUGAACGCGAAGUAAGGAUCAAGAAACUUGUAGCCACGUGUGGUUGUACCAUUAAACACGCUUUGUUUCGUAUUAAUCGCCACGGGAACGAUCCUAUCCGUAAGCUCGGCAAAGAGUGCACUAAACCGGAGAAGGAAAGGCUCACGGCAAGUGGUUCCCUCCGGACAUAUCACGAGAUCACCUUCCUCUAAGAGACGCUUGAUGUUCGCUGCGUCUUUCUCGCGCUGACGAGUCAACGCAACGGCUUUUAUUGGAGAGAUUAGCUCAGAGAAUUUGCUGAUACUGUACGUGACGCAGCUAAUUUUCCGACCGAGCGCGACAGCUGUCACCACGGGGUCGAGGACGGUCCGGUGGUUGCAGACCAAGAGGUGGCCUGGUUGGCCGGGUUUAGGUGGCGGAGGAGGGUUGCCGUUGACGACUAGUUUGAUCCCUGUGAGCUUGUAGUUGUAACGGGCGAUGCGUUCCGGUAACGGAAUAUUCGUGUAGACGCGGAUGAGAGAGACUAGAAAACCGACGGGAAGCCAGAGGAGAGUUAACAAUGCAACUAACGGAGUUGGUCGUUGGACUAAUCUGCCCUCGUGGAAUAUUAUAGGGUUUAAGAGUUUAUUUCUUGGUAAUGGUUCGCAUUUUGUACGUGGCACCAUGUAACCCUCCUGCAGUCAAUUAAAAAAAUUGUUAUAUUAACUGAAGCUGAAAAGUACUUGUGAUUUGUACGUAAUUGUCUGGUAGCAUGCACUUUUGAUUUUUUUGGGGUCGAAUUAUAUAAUGCGAUACCAUAGUACUCAUGAGAGAGACAUAUGUACUAUCAAAAUUAUUAGUGAUUAGAAAAAACAUGCAUGUAAUACAUCUUACAUGUGUAAGUAAUUUAUAUAAUUACCUAGGAUAAUUUUUUUUGACCAAAUUAUAUUUUUGACUUAAUUAUUUAGCAGUUUACGAGAUGAGAGUGAAGAAGAACAAAACAAAUAUGAUCAUGGCUUUUACAUGACAAAAAAAAAACAGUGGUUCGUGUAUGAAAGAACCUAAAAGUUACUGAUUCUAUCACAGAGUUUAAGAAUUCACUCGUAAAGUCUAAAACAAAAUUCUAAAAUAGUCUAUUGGGUAGAUACGUAAGGUCUAAGAAAGUUUAAGCACGUAAAAUGACUUUAGUUUCUUUAAAAGAAUUAUAAAAGAACAAAAGUUUCUUUAAUUAUUUACCUAAUUUUAUCCUCAUUUAGUGCAACUAGACAUUAUAAAAAAAUUAUAUGAUUGGCCAAAAUGAAUAAGAUCAUCUUUAUCGGAGUAUUUAGGAGGAUUUUUAGAGGAAAAGAUGGGAUUGGUCCUACAAAAUGAGAAGAAAGGUAGUUUCCUGUCGCUAAAUAAGAGAUUUUGUUAUGGGUUUUUUCCACUGUUUUACGGGCUCCAUAACACGUGGCGGCCCGUGAUUGGUUCUUUUAAAAAAAAAAAACAGAUAAAACAAAAAAAAAAAAAUUUAAGAAACGGAACUGGGUUUCUGCGAUGCUGAUGCUCUAAGAAGGGCUGUACACACUAAACAGUGAACACCAUAGGACAACACAAUAACUACUCAACCGAAAAAGCUGCACCUACGUCCAAAUUUCAUUGACAUAUACUCUCUCCGUUCCUAAAUAUAAGAUGUUUAGGUAAAAACACGAAUAUAAAAAAAAUCAUUUUUUGUCUAGAAAGUAUCAUUAAAAUCAUAAAUUAAUGUUAUUCAUCCAAUUACAAAAUAGAUUAUCAAAUAUAAGAGAAUACUAGAGGGGUUCUUAGCGUGUGGGUCCCGCGUAGGACCCUUUUUUUUUUAAGAAACCGGUUACCAAAACUACCAAAUAGUAGUCGGUCCUUAAGGGUUUUUUACACUGUUCGCGGGCCCCACUGACACGUGGCGGUCCGCGAUUGGUUCGUUUUUAAUUUUUUUUUUCUAAAUUCGAAAAAAUAAAAAAAAAAAAUUAAGAAACCCUAAAUGGGAUAAUGAUGCUCUAAUUGGUUACACAGUUUUUAAUAAAUAAAAAAUUACCUAGAAAAAUAAAAAACAUCUUAUAUAUUAGAACAUCAAAAUUCUUUAAAACAUCUUAUGUUUAAUAACUGAUGGAGUAAUUAUAUACUCAUAAUGUCGUGAAUAACGUAUUUAUUGAGUUAGACAUCAGUAAUAAAAAGAUACGAAAAUAACAUAUCAUACAAAAAAGAGGAAGAUAGGUGACGGAAAUAACCUUGCAAAUUGACAUGAAAUCGUGGUCCGUCUUACUAUCGCCAAGCCCCAAAUCAGGUAAACCGGACGCAACGCCACCGAACUCUCUCAAAAUGGCGUCGCGUUUGUGUUGACCAACGAGAACACCUGGUCUUCUAACAAAACCGGUUGCACGACCCGAUUUGGAGACUUCGAGUUCCGUUCCAAGAACUUUAUUGACUCCUAGGUAUGUCUUCACGAACGGCUCAACCAUGACCCGUGGACUAGCUGUUACUAUAUACCGCUUCCCGAAGGUGUUGAAGAUACUCCACGCGUCAGGUCUCACGUCCUCCGCGUAAAACCUCGGUAGGACGGAACGGACCACGAGCUCAACGUCUCGGAUCUUGAGACCAGCGAAGGUGAUAAAGAUGAAAAUGUUGAUGGCUAGUGUCUCGGAGACGGAGAGGUACGUGAGGUAGACGAAUGGUACGGACGCAAGUAGGAUCAAAGCGCGGAGCAAGCUCCCUGCUUCGAGGGCCACGAGGAAAUAGUAAGGAAAUGCGCUACGAGAGAUUAGUAACGUCCCAUCGAGAUCAGCAGUCACGGUUUGGUUCGACCGGUCCUUAAUCUCAUAGCUUGUUAUUGGCUGGAAACGACGCCGCUUCUCCUGAGCCCCCAUCAGACAAGAAGAGAAGAGAGAGAGAGGUGGGAAAUUUGGAAGGUGAGAAUGAGUAUGGAUUGGUGAAUACUUUUUAGGAGUGUUGUUUAUAUAGUGAGAAGCGAAAGAGAAUGGGCAUGAUUUUGUUGUUGAGGUGGUUGAUAUUAGUAUACCAAAGAAAUAUAUGCUUUUGAUUUUUCAACGGUUAGAGAAAGAAAAAGAACAGACUGUGUAUAAUAGAUAACAAUAUCAGUAUGACUACUGCCGUUACAUAAAUUAAUUAGUCGAUCUUCCGAAUACGCAAGGAAGUGAUUUGAAUAAAAUAAUAGCCAAAAUGUGGAUAUCAAAUUUUGAUUAAUUAGGGAAGAUAGUUAAUUGCGAAGAAUGAGUGGUUUGAGACGUGUGAAAUAGAAUGAGAGUUAAAGUUGGUGAAGACCGAAACCAAUCUAUUGAUUAUCCAAACAACUAUGGAGAAUUUUUUAUGUUCUUGAAGGCCUACGCGCCGCCGGUUUAUAGUUAGAGGCUUUGAUCUCCAUCUUUGCCUCUUAUUGUUUAAGUUUGUUUUUGGUAUGCUGUGAGUGUCAGUCUCUACCAUGUUUUAUCAAUGAGUCUGAUUGUGGUUACCUGCGGUUUCUUGUGGCCUCUGGAAGUUCCUGGUUCAGCUAUGUAUAUUGCAAGUACACAACGUAUCAUUUUUGCUCAGAUUUUCUCAUUUUAGUUCAGUUCUUUUGAAUUGUUUUGAACUUUGUAUUUUAGUUAUGUUAUGAUCGUCUACCUGAAUUUUAAUUGAAAUUUGGUUCAAAAAUACAACAUGCAUUAUUUGUUUCUAAGAGAAAAGAUGGUAGGUGAUGAAAUUGAAUUGCAAAAUAAAAGAAAUAGAUUAGCAUUAAUAUAUAUAUUUGUAUAUAGUAGGUCUUUCACGGAGAUUUCAGUUCUUUUUUUUUCCGCCAAGUUUUUUAAUAUUAAUAAAACGGGAUCAAGCCCAACUACACGGCCCGAGGCCCAACAAGACAAACAUCAAGAAGUCCAAAACCCUACGGGGCAAAUAAGAUAAGUUAAAGGGUCUGCGGCCCAAAACAAAAGAAACCGGACGACUUCGGUAGACCCACGCGUCAAGGAGGCCGGACACGUGUAAGCAUAAAACACCAUCAGGACGACACGCGUCGCUUCCGCCUCAACUUGACCGUCACCGCCUCGAAACGUCGCCGGAGCUACCACCGCAAACCUUGAGCUCAGAUUACCGGAGAGCCUCCAUCGAAACCAUAUCUCUUCACUUCCACGCUUUGUCUUCACUUCGGAGAGCUUCAUCGAUCCAGUCGAGAGCUCAUCCGACUGAACAAAGCCGUGAACCACGAACCCAGAACCAAGACAAGCCACAAGCGGGAUCCAAAACCGAUCCAACGAACUGAAACACCUAAAGCCGGCGACGCAAGACUGAGAGAGCCUUCAUCCCCCGGAGACAAAACCGACGACGGCGAAACUGAAGAAGCCUGCACCUCCCGGAGACAAGGGCCGGCGGCGACGGAGCUGUAGGAGCCUAUAUUUGUAUAACAUGCUUAAGAUGAGCUUAAUGUAAAACAGAUUUUUGGGUCAGAAUUAAUUUACAUUCGAUUAAAAAGACAAUAUUAUAUACAAUCAAGCAAAUGAUCACACCAAGGUUUUCUUUCUUAAAUCGUUAUUAUACUAAAAGUAAAACUUGAAAAUAUCACGAAAAAACUUGCAAAGAAACAAUUAUCGAAGCAUAGAAGACAAAUAAAUUAACAAACUUACCAAUUCUUGCUAAAUGAAAAAAAAAAGAUUUAAAUAUUUGUAUUAUUUCUUCAUCAUCUCUUUCCUCCAAUCAAAUAUAAUCAUAUCUUCUCCUUCUUCACCGGAACCCUACCGUCGGUACCAGCUAGCAUUGCGUACUUAUCCUUUCUUGUAAAGUUGGUGCACUCAAACCCUAAGGUUCCUGCUAAAACCCUCUGUAUGUAAUUCGCCACCUCUAUCGGCGACUUGCCUCCUUUACACGUCAGCUCAGCCGGAAGCUGUUUAAGGAACGUGAUCUCGAACGUCGGAACGGGGUUCAUGAACGCGAAGUAAGGAUCAAGAAACUUG
rnacentral:lncRNA from 1 species